UGCUGUCCUAACAAUCAGGAAUGGGUUAAAGUGGAAAUCUGAGAAUCAUGAUAGAUUCAGUUUUUUAACAAUUUAUUUUAGUUUUGUAACUUUUUUUGGAUAUCCUUUUUUUUUACCAUAGCAUAUGUAACUAAAUUAAGACACAGCUGGGGUGCUAACGUGUCCCGGAUUUUGUGGGUCUGUCCUGCGUCCUGGGUACAAUGUAAUGUCCCGGAAUGAGCGAGGCCCCAUAUUAGUGAAGAGGGGCCCCAUUUGCGAUGUGCGUGCAGCAACCCUCCCUCACUCUCUUCCCUCCCUCUGAAGUCCCAGUGCUGCUAGGAAGUGAGGUCACACGCAAUGACGUAGCUUCUUCCCAGCGCUCUUUGCAGAUAACCGUGCGGGAGGAAAGACAGAGCAGCUCCCCUCCCAGGACCAGGUAAGUGAGGAAUACAUAAACACUGCUUUGGAAGCAAGGUCUGAUCCCGCACUCCUAAGGUUAGAAACAAUACGCAAACUGGUUUUCAUUUCCAGUUACGCAAAUAAAUGUAUGACUCAGUCUAAUGUAGAACUAACAUGUCUUACUCAGUGGUUUAAAUAGGCAACUAUUAGGAUUGGCCAAUCUAAUAUGGCUCUUUCCAAAUAUUCGCAAAAG